ACAGUGGCUUAGUGGUAGAGCAUGUGCUUUGCGUGCAGAAGGUCACGGGUUGAGACCCUGCCAUAUCUG
rnacentral:tRNA from 1 species